AUUGAACGCUGGCGGCAGGCCUAACACAUGCAAGUCGAGCGAGCGGCGGACGGGUGGGAAAUGUAUGGGGACUGCCCGCUAUAGGGGGAUAAAGACUGGAAACGGUGGAUCAUAUCGCAAACGAUCGGAUAACACAUAUGGGAUGAGCUAGUAGGGGAGGUAAUGGCUCACCUAGUCGACGAUCCCAAUCGGGUCUGAGAGGAUGAUCAGCAACACGUGGACUGAGACAAGGCCCCGACUCCUACGGAGGCAGCAGUGGGGAAUAUUGCACAAUGGGCGCAAGCCUGAUGCAGCCAUGCCGCGUGUAUGACGAAGGCCAUAGGGUUGUAAAGUACGUUAAGUCGGGAGGCGUUACCGACAGAAGAAGCACCGGCUAACUCCGUGCCAGCAGCCGCGGUAAUAC
rnacentral:rRNA from 1 species